ensembl:lncRNA
CCUUUGAUGGAUGAAGAUUCAUUAAGUGGUCCUUCUUGUGCACUAAAAUUUACUCUUUUGAAAUAAGAGACUUAUAGGAUCUACUGAGGAUAUCCUUCAGGUAAAUUCAGAGAUCAUGCAUGUUCUUCUAUUCAAUAUUCUUUUCUAUGAACUUCAGGUGUUGACCUGUGGUAAAGGAAAUCAAUUCUUACAUGUUUUUUAAAAGUAUUUCAAUGAAAAUUAAUUUUUACAUUUAAUAUUUUCGUAGAAAGCACAAUCCUAGACCACUAAAGUAAAAAGAAAAAGAUUUUUAACAAUAGCUUUGAUAGAAUUACAAGUAGUUAUUUUUUUCCAAUUGUAUUUGGGUAUAAGUUCUAGUUUGGAGAAAAAGCCUUUCUGACAAUAUCGAUCCAUUUUUUAUGAAAGUGGCAGCUUUUUGGAAAAAAGGAAAACCAAGACUUUUCUUGCUUGCAGUCAUCAAAAAUCCUUGAUUCACUAUGAAGGAAGAAUGUCAAUCCAGGUGUUGCUGCCAAAUUCCAGUGUGAUAAUUACACUUCCUACCAAGAUAUUCCCUUGUAAUUUCAAUCACACAAGGAGUGUUCUGUGUGUUCUGUUGUAAGAUGUCUGUUACUGGUUCCCUUCCUUCAGGCAGCUGACUUGCACUUUGGUGCUGACUGUGCUUCAGUGUAGCAGAUCUGGUGUGUGCCUUGUGACUGCUUUGUGAAACUUCUGUGUCUGGACUGCAGAAAUGAAAAGCAAUGGAAAGAACUACAACUCAAGACAAAAGACUCAGUCUUUCUCUGACAAGUUGAAAUGCUCCUUACUGAGACAAGCUAUACAGCAGAGCAACUGCAACAGAAGUACACUUGUCCUCUUGGAUUGGGUGUAUUGUGGAUUCACUGUAUAAGAACAUUUUCAAAGAUACGACUACUUAUUUUGAAACACAUCUUCAGAGUAAAAAAAGUGAAUAAAUCCAGAGAACAUACAAAAGUCUAAUCACUGGGUGGAAUUCAUCUUCCCAAGACACUAAGGAGAAUUAUUAAAUUAAGUUGAACAAAGCAGGAGAAACAGAAGGGUAAGGACGUGCAACUGUUGAGCAGAGAUUUCUUCCAUUAUGCUUUGUAAAACAAAAAAAACCAAGAGUAUUUUCAUACCAUUUGUCACUGAAGGCUGACUUUGCUAAUCUGAAUAGGGUAUGAUUAGCCCAAUGGUCCAGCAACAGAAGUAGGGUAGGUACAGCUUAAUGUUACAUUUUUCUAUUUCAUAAAAAUUCAUAUAAAUUCAUAAUUAAAUGUGAGACCGUAGGAGGAAUUCCAUAAUUAGGUAUUGGUCCAGAUGAUAACAUCUACCAUUUGAUAGAAAUGUGAGACAGUAACUGCAGAGUAUGGAUGUAAGACACUAUGCCACCACCAUCUUCUAGUGCAUUUCUUGUAAGAUGUUCAUAGUUUCAUGGGGAAACACAAAUGUAUCGUGAUGUUAUGUCCACUUAAAGGCCUCACUCACUAAUGUCAACUUCUUAGAGCACAGUUCAUUGCCUGCCUAAGCCAAUAUGUAGUCACGUAGAGGUUAAACAACAGUUCUGUUCCAUUAAUAUAAUUCUGCUCCUUAGCAAUGGGCAAAGGACACAAAGUUUUGAAUUCUUCAAAAUGAAAUUCAGUAUUAUGAAUAACCCUAAUAUCUGCAUUCAUUGCAUGUCUUACCAUGGCAAAAUAAAAUGCAUCCAAGCAGUGCA